UAGAAAAUAAUAAAAAUUAUUUAAAUUUUUUUUUUUUUUGGUGAAUUUUGUUUUUUUUUUAAGUUUCUGUUGUUUGGUUAGUGGAAAAGAAAAUUAGUUUUUUUAUAGAGUUAGGCUGGUAUACUAUCGGUAGCAUGGAGGCCUCCGUGCUACUAAGUUGUUUUCAAUGACUCGGCUUCCAAAUCGACAAUCGGCUAUGUUAGACUUGAUCUACACUAUAAAAAAUAUUUGGAAACUAAAUUUCAUAAUUUUUCGAUAUCAUUUGGCUAGUGAUCAAAAGGUCUCAAAAUUAAUAAUUCUAAUGGUCAAUGUGAUGCGUUUAUGAAUUUAAUGGUAUAAAACAAUCCAAAUCUAAUGAAUUUUUUGUACAAAAUUUUUUUCACUAUUUAGAGUAAGAUCAGUGGCUCUGAUCUUAAAUUCAAGUAUUUUAUUAUUAUUUUUUAUAAGAUUUUUACUUUUGGCCGUUCAUUUUUAAAUUACUCAAAUGAUAGGUAAUGAUGGCAAAAAAUUAUGAAAUUUAGUUUCCAAAUACUUCUAAUAGUGUAGAUCAAGUCUAAAGGAGUCGAUCGUUAAUUUGGAAGCUGCAUUAUUGAAAACAACUUGGUAGCAUGGAGGCCUCCGUACUACCGAUAGUAUACCAGCCUAGCUCGUUUUUUAUAUAUGCAUAAAAAGCAGUUUUUUAUUCGACUUCUACGUGUUUGAUAUAGGUAAACUCACUUUUUAAAUCUAACAUAAAAUUCAAAAUUUUUUUACAAUAUAAAUAAUAAAUAAUUAAAUAAUAAUAAAUUUAAACUAUAUAUUCGUAUGGAUAAAUAAUUUGACAAAAAGAUGGAGAUGAUAUGGAGCUUAGAAAUCAACAAUCAAUGUCAUUGAAUAUGAUCUUAGACUAUUUAAACUAUCACAGAAUCAAAUUUCUUACUUUUUCGAUAUUAUUCUCUUGUCUGUUAAGUAGGCAUAGAAAUGAACGAUUGAAAAUAAAUAUUUUUCAAAAAUCGAUGAUAAGAGUUUUAUAAUGAAGAUCAAAGUAUAGAUCUUAUUUUAAAUAGUUUGAAUAAUUUUCUAGCCAAAAUUCUAUUGAUUUAUUUAUCUUUAUGCCGUUACACAAGGAAACGCCUCAUAUCAACUAUGAAAUUAUAAAUUUUACAACUCUUUGAUCAUUAGGUCAAUAAUAUUAAAAAGAUUUGAAAUUUUAUUUCUAGAUAACUGGUAUAGAUCAUGUUUAACAGUGUCGUACGUCUAUUCAGAGGCUCCAUCAUAAAAAAUAAAUCAGCAGCACUGAAGCCUAUUUGCUAUCAAUAGUAUUUCAGCAUAAUUCUCUCUCUAUGUAUAUAU
rnacentral:lncRNA from 1 species